rnacentral:tRNA from 1 species
UAAUUUAUAUCUAAUUAGUUAAAUUUAUAUUUA